rnacentral:lncRNA from 1 species
AUGGCGGCCAUGGCGACCGCCCUGCUGGUGGUCUGCCUCCUCCUCCUCGCGCUCCUCCUCUUCCUCACGGUGCUCUUUUGUUACAGAGCCGGCCAGAGGAGGAGGAGUCAUCGUGGGUCGCGAGGGGGCGCCAUGUGGUCGGCGGGCGGGACCACCGGGUUUGCCGCCGUCGUCCCAGAACGCGGACCGCAAGGCCGUGCCUCCCGGGCCCCCCAGGCUGCUGUACCACGAACGACCUCAACAGUCCCCGGGCCCGGGGGCGCUGUGGAUCCGUCUGGAGGAGGGCGGCGAGGGCUUUGAUACACGUGGGACACACUACAUGGUACCAAAGUCAAGAUACUUUUUAACAGAAAUACAAGUAAAUAAUUAGCUGAGGGGACAAAGGCAAAGGCAGCCAUAACGAACGAGUGUGGUUUGCAGCAACUGGAAACCAGCCAAUGACUCUUUACACUUAACCCAUGCAAGGAGAAAGAAAGAAAGAAAGAAACCCAUUCGAUUUUUUUUAUGUAUUAUCACAACUAUAACGGGUGGAAUGCAUUCUACAUCGAUGACCCUUGACCUGUCAUAAGCAGCUGCAGAAUGACCGUAAACUGCAUAUUUGAUAAUGUUUCACUUUGACACUGGAGAGAAAAUUAUGUCUACGCCAAAGUCAAACUAGGUGAUAGUGUAUAUAUAGUGAACUCAGGCCCCAAGUAACAGGAUUUGUACGAUCAUUUGGCGGAUGCUUUAUCCAAAGCCUUAAUAAUGUAACUGCAAUAAUUACAGAUACGUGAAUGACUGAAACAUUCGAUUUAAGAUGCAUCUGUUCUAAGCCGGGGCGGCACCAGAACACUAUUUUUUCUUGACUCUGAAUAGUAAAUAAAAAUCAAUAUCAUUUUCCCUUUCAACAAUGUCUGUUCAAAGAGACCAAGUCAGACACCAGGACAGAAGUCUACUGUUCCUCUGAACACCGUAGAACAAACAAUUAAUUUAUACACAAGUGGUUUGUUGUGAUCACACUACAUUGUGACAAAGUCAAGAUACAUUUCAACAGAAAAAUAAUUAGCUGAGGAGGCAAAGUUAGCAAAUGCAGCCCUAAAUAGAGAACUAGUGUGGUUUGCAGCAACUGAAAUCCAGCCAAUGUCUGUCAUGACUCUUUACUGCCUAACCUCAGCCUCCAACACAACAACUGUGGGAACAUUGAAAAAAAAUAAUGCAACAAGAAAAGCAUCUAUGUACAGCUCUUUCAGUGACCAGGGAAGUCUGCAUGUCAUCAUCUUUUAAGGAGCACCUUGCAGCCAAUCACAGCUCUUAUCGAAUGGCAGAACUCGACAAGUAUGAAUCAAAACAAACAACGUCUGUUGGCAUUAAGAUAUAGAAAAAUAGUCA